AGUAAGACACCAUGGAGGUUGGUAGUAAGACAUCAUGGAGGUUGGUAGUAAGACACUAUGGAGGUUGGUAGUAAGACACCAUGGAGGUUGGUAGUAAGACAUCAUGGAGGUUGGUAGUAAGACACUAUGGAGGUUGGUAGUAAGACACCA